CAGCUCCCUGACAGGAGGUUGUAGCCGGGUGGGGAUCGGCUGCUUCUCCCAGGCCGCCACGGACAGGAUGAGGGGACAUGGUCUUAAGCUGCACCAGGAGAGGAGAUUUAGGAAAUAACCAAAGAGCUCAAAACUGCUCUGGUCCCCCUGCCCAGACUGCACAGCAGCACCCAUUUGCCCAGGAGCACCCGAGGGCACCAAGGCAGCAGAUGCAUCUUCACAUCAGUGGAUCAGUGAGCUACAGCUUGCUCUGUUUUGCCACCUGAACAUCCUCCAGCUAGACAGCAAAGCCCAGCCUUAGGAAAACUGUGACUGUCUGUGCCAGAAUUUCUGUCUAGCUCACUGUGAUUAAUAGACCUCGGUCUAUAAUGAACGAGUAUUGAUAUCAUAACACACUUCCCAAGGAAGGUGCUUUUUCAGACUAUCCAGAAGCAAUCUACAGACCCCUAAAAGUUAUAGGCAGGCUGAAAAUGGAGAUAGUUCUCCCAACACUGCCAACAAAAUAACUUAUGGAGUAGUGUUUUCCCUGGAGAGCUCACAUGAGUAGCAACAGAAGAAAGUGUUUCCGGGAGAAUUAUCCUGGUUUAUAUUUAGCCUGGAUUGACCUAUUUCAGCGUGCAGUCAUAUGUACACCCUUCUACCUGGCCUCAUCCUCCCUGGGAGCUGCUGGCAGUUACCUGGUUAAUGUGUAUUCCCUGAGUCCUGAGUGAAGAUUCAUGGCUGAGAAGGUCCCAAUGCAGCCACGAAGCCGCUUGUCUCGCCCCGUCUUCCACGUCACAAAGAGUGGACUGAAAAGGAAGAAAACAAAAGAAACCUUCCAGCCCCUAGGGAUAUUUGGCUGCUAAGAGGAGAGUACCAAGGUGUAAAAGAGCACAUGCACAUGCCCUUGCUUUCUCUCUCUCCAGUAAACCCCAAAAGGCAGGUUUGCUCACCUGCUGCCCAGCAAUACCCAAACCUCGUGCCCACCCCCUGCCACACUCCACCAUCUCCCUCCACCUUUUCAGUACUCACUCCUCUCCAGCAGUGCUCUGCAAGUAUCCAUGGACACCUUCUUGGACAGAUUCUGCACUGAAUCUAAUGAGGGAUAUGGUUGUUUGACCCCACUGAGUACCUGUCAGUAUUGGCUGCACUUCACAGCACCCACUAAUUUACAGGACAGCCCAUAUAAAAAUCAAUACAGGUGAAGCAAAUAAGAUUAGUUACUUAUAGCACCAGUGAACCUGAAAGAUCCCCAGGCAUUCUGCAAUUCAUCUAUAAAUCAGAUUUGCAAUAAAAGUUUUUCUUUUUUUUU